ACAUACAAAAUGAUAUGCUUUAGGACAUACUACUAACAAUUUCCCACUAGCACUAGAGUCAUUUAUUACAAUAUCUUAGACCUAUCUUCUCAAGAUGUCGGUCUAACUGAGUUUAUGACAUAGGCUUUGUGAAUGGAUCAGCUGGAUUUUCAGCUGAUGCUAUUUUUUGCAUGGCUACAUCGUCUCGCCCAACUAUUUUUCUGAUAAUAUGGUAGCGCCUUUCUAUGUGUUUGGAUUUCUGGUGAGACCUUGGUUCCUUAGCCUGUAUGACUGCUCCAUUAUUGUCACAGUGUAGUGGAACUGCUGACUCAAUGGAAGGAACUACUGUAAGUUCUGUCACGAACUUCUUUAUCCAAACAGCUUCCUUUGCAGCAUCUGAUGCAGCAAUAUACUCAGCCUCAGUAGUGGAAUCUGCAGUCGUGCUCUGUUUGGAACUCUUCCAACUGACUGCACCUCCAUUACAAAUGAACACAUAUCCAGAGGUAGACUUUCUAUCAUCGAUAUCUGAUUGGAAAUCAGAAUCAGUAUAACCAUCCAAUUGCAAGUCUCCACCUCCAUAAAUCAAGAAUAAAUCCUUAGUUCUUCUCAAGUACUUAAGGAUAUUCUUGACAGCUAUCCAGUGUUCCAAACCUGGAUUGGAUUGAUACCUGCUAGUCAAACUAACAGCAUAUGCGAUAUCCGGCCUAGUACACAACAUUGCAUACAUUAAACUUCCAAUAGCCGAAGCAUAUGGAAUCCUGGCCAUUUUAUCUUUUCCUUCAGGUGUCUUUGGAGACAUUUCUUUAGAAAGGUGGAUACCAUGUCUCACUGGUAACAAUCCUCUCUUGGAAUCAAGCAUGUUAAACCUC
rnacentral:misc_RNA from 1 species